UACGUAGGUGGCAAGCGUUGUCCGGAAUCACUGGGCGUAAAGCGCGCGCAGGCGGCGAUCUACGUCUGGGGUGAAAGCCCGGAGCUCAACUCCGGGACUGCCUUGGAUACGGGAUCGCUUGAGGAUUGGAGAGGAAGGUGGAAUUCCACGUGUAGCGGUGAAAUGCGUAGAGAUGUGGAGGAACACCAAUGGCGAAGGCAGCCUUCUGGGCCAACACUGACCCUCAUGCACGAAAGCGUGGGGAGCAAACAGG
rnacentral:rRNA from 1 species